AUCGCUUCUUGGCCUUUUGGCUAAGAUCAAGUGUAUUAUUAUUAUAGAAUGGGUUCUCAGAUAAAGAAAAAAACUAAGAAUUUUCUCAGAUUUUUGGGAGUAUUUCAU
rnacentral:snRNA from 1 species